UUGAAUUAUUGAUUUUUUGUAUAUGUCUACUCUCAUUGCAGUCCAGAAACAGUCUACAGCAGGGGGAUAUGGAUGGGGCAAGACGUUUGGGACGUUUGGCUCGUCUGCUUAGCUGUGUGGCCAUCAUCGUGGGCCUCCUGAGCAUCAUAAUAUAUGUGGUGGUUGCAGUUACCGGAAAGGGGACAAAGUAAAGAUGACUACUACUACUACUACUACUACUGCAAAAAAACCCACAGAUGAUGUAAUUAAAACAAGAUCUCCCUCUUAUCAAUAACGCCACAGAAGAUGAAAAAGAAACGAGGACUGUCGCAACUAAAUAAGAUCUGAUUAAGUAGCGAAAAUGCAUGCAGUAGGUUAGCAUGCUCAGUGAAAAAAUUAAAUAAAUUCAAAAUCCCAUAUGUUAAAAAGAACAGUGAUGGCUUGCAUUAUGUAAAUGAGAAAUACUGCUGUAUCGGCAAAAAAAAAGUGGCCUGUGGAUGAUGACACAAAGGACAAGGACUUCUUCUUUUCUUUUCUUUUUUCAAAAAUGGAAAACGUCUACACACAGCUGCAUUUUAACCUUAUAUUACUCCUGGUCGAUCUUGCAUUUGAAAAUUAUGCACAGAAAUAUUUGCAACUAAUAAACUACUGAUGUAUGUUUUAUAGAAAAGAUUUCUAUGUGGAGUCUGAGCUGAGGGAUUGAACUAGGGUCGACUUAUCCAUGUCAGGUGUAGAAACGAACACUGGGGUUGGAGGUUUCAUUUUUCUCCAUUUAUUUUGUAGGUUUGGAUUUCAAACAAAUGACCACGUGCAUGUCUGACCUUGUAUGUGAAUAAGUGUCAGCAUUUUCAAUGACUAUAUCUUUUUUUAAUCUGUGAGAGUAGUAGUGGGAGUCUACAGAUGGGACUGUACAUCGUUGUCCGUAGUGUGUCAAAUGCUAUAUUCUGUCAAAGACACAGCAUUCAUGGAGAGCUCAGCCUCUCAUUACACGUCCUGUACUAGUCUAGUUUUCUUUAGAGAGGUAAGACUGUAACGAUACGCAUGCCAGGCCUCUCUUUCCUAACAAAAACUGCUGGAGCAUGGACAUUCAUCUAGAGGCAUGCGGCGGCCAGCACCAUUCUGUGCCAAGACCUUUAUAUCAGUAUGCUAAACGCACCACAGGACUAUUCAUCCUUCCCCGGGUUCUUUCCAGGACAGAAUGUCAGACUCCCGGUCAUAAAUCUCCCUACUUAACCCUUAUAAAUAUGAGAUAUAUAUCAACAUAUUUAUAGAAAUAUUUAGGCAUGCUGUGGGUGGACAAAACACUUUCUAUCUUUAAGAAUGAGCUUGUGUGUAAGACCGUGUCCUAACCAGACGCAACGUGAUAAGACUCUUGUCUUGACAGAGUUACAUGACGUAACAAAAGAUACAAAACAAUGUCACAGCCAAUCAGAAGAGAGUGUAGGCAUGAUCGUCUGCAAGUGACGAGUUUAUAACGCAUAAUACAAAAUAACCAGAGCAUUGUUAAAAUACAUGCUGAAUGACUGUUA